rnacentral:ncRNA from 1 species
AUAUGUGGGGUGCCUGUACAGGCUGAGAUCAUACCCGUAACCUGAUCCGGAUAAUGCCGGCGUAGGGAAGGCA